UACGUAGGGACCAAGCGUUGUUCGGAUUUACUGGGCGUAAAGGGCGCGUAGGCGGCGCAACAAGUCACUUGUGAAAUCUCCGGGCUUAACUCGGAACGGCCAAGUGAAACUGUCAAGCUAGAGUGCAGAAGGGGCAAUCGGAAUUCUUGGUGUAGCGGUGAAAUGCGUAGAUAUCAAGAGGAACACCUGAGGUGAAGACGGGUUGCUGGGCUGACACUGACGCUGAGGCGCGAAAGCGUGGGUAGCAAACAGG
rnacentral:rRNA from 1 species